AAGAUUCCAGAAUACGCUCCCGGCUUUGGUGCUUGAUUGACGAACGCACAUCGCGCAGCGCCGCUGUCUCCAUCUUCCGAAGUCGCGCAAUCCAUCCCCGCGGCGGUCGGCUGCGGGCCUGCCCAUGCCCAUCGGCCUGCGCGGUGGCGGCCCCCAUAGCUCCCUCGCGGCGGUGGCGGCGGGCGACUCCCCCACACCGAUGGACGACGACGUCCAUGGCUCCUGCACGGUCGAGGCCAUCACUCCCUGCGGCAAUUCUUUUCUCUUGCCAUUCCCACACAGCCUCUGUAUGCUAAGAAUGUUUGGAUUUGUUUCUGUUUAUCCAUGAAUAAUUUCUUCCCCGGGAUUUAUAUCCCGAUUUCUUUCUUUCCAGCCAAUAUCAGGUCUUUAUGUUCAUAACCGAGGACCGAACCGAAUUAUCUGUGAACCGAAGUCUCGGUCAUUGAUUUUCUGGAUGACCGAUCGGUCAAGAGAAUCAGGAAACCGAAUUUCAAAUGAAACCGAAGCACCGAACCGUUCGGUUCGGUCUAACCGAAUGCCCAGUCCUCCACAACUGAUGAUGUUUGGCGCAGGAAUGGUGCUGCUGGCGUUCAACACCACGGACGGACGAAGGCUAGGGCUUCUUUACUCCCUCGACCGAAGCCCGCCGAUCAGUUAGUUUUCCUAUGAACUCAAGCUUUCUUAUUUUCAUGAUUACCAAAAUCAUUGCAGAUUGCUUGUUUGUUGCUUAUUAUUUGUGUUAAAGCAUAUUUUUAUAUAUAACUUUGCAUUUUUUGAAUCUUUUUUGUUUUUUAAUUUCUCCAAAAAUCCUGAUUUUUUUUAAUAUUCUCACAGGGGAAGUUUUAUUAUAAGAGGAUGACAUUUCUUAUUGUAAGAGGGAUGGCAUUUUCAUUAUAAGAGGAUGGCAUUUUUUAUUAUAAGAGGAUGACAUUUUUUUUAUUAUACGUAUAACAUUUUUGUUGUUGUGAGGAUGGUAUUUUUGUUAUAUAAGAGGGUUUCAUUUUUAUUAUUAGAGGAUGGGUUUUUUUAUAAGAUAAGAGGACGACAUUGUUUUUAUUUUUGUAAGAGCAUUCUAUUUCUUUAUAAUAUGAUGGCAUUUUUUUUAUUGUGAGGAUGGCAUUUUUUUAAUUAUUUUAAGAGGGACGGCAUUUUUAAUAUGGCUGUUUUAUAAAGUAGGAUGGAUUUUUUUUAUAUAAUUCAGACCAGGGGCAUAAUUUCUUUUGUGUAAGAUGGCAAAUUUUUGAUACUGCUUAAUUUUACAUACAUCAUGGCCUUCAUAUUUUUAAAAUAAAUUUGCGUACAAAUAAGAUGGUAAAGCUAAAGAGGCUGGGCUGUGUGUGGGGUGGUUCGCUCGAUCAACACCACACCCCUAAAAAACAGUUUCAAAAUUUGACGUCAAAUUAUUAGCAUUUUCAGUCUUCCUGUUUUCCUGUUUGACGAAACAUAGAGAUAGCAUCACCCGCAAAAAAAAACAUAGACAUAGCAGGGCUCAAAACCACGAGCAUGACGGUCGCAUUGCCAAGCUUUGCAGACAUUUUUUUGCCAUCCGAUGCAGACGCUGG
rnacentral:lncRNA from 1 species